UACGUAGGGGGCAAGCGUUGUCCGGAUUCACUGGGCGUAAAGAGCGUGUAGGCGGUCUGGUAGGUCCGCUGUGAAAACUCGAGGCUCAACCUCGAGACGCCGGUGGAAACCAUCAGACUAGAGUCCGGAAGAGGAGAGUGGAAUUCCUGGUGUAGCGGUGAAAUGCGCAGAUAUCAGGAAGAACACCCGUGGCUAAGGCGGCUCUCUAGUACGGUACUGACGCUGAGACGCGAAAGCGUGGGGAGCGAACAGG
rnacentral:rRNA from 1 species